CACGUAGGGGGCAAGCGUUGUCCGGAUUUAUUGGGCGUAAAGAGCUCGUAGGUGGUUCGAUAAGUCGGGUGUGAAACCUCCAGGCUCAACCUGGAGACGCCACCCGAUACUGUCGUGACUAGAGUCCAGUAGGGGAGCGUGGAAUUCCUGGUGUAGCGGUGAAAUGCGCAGAUAUCAGGAGGAACACCAGCGGCGAAGGCGGCGCUCUGGGCUGGCACUGACACUGAGGAGCGAAAGCGUGGGGAGCAAACAGG
rnacentral:rRNA from 1 species